GUGGGGAUGUGGAAUCCGGGCAAAAGAGGGGAAAUCAAUAUGGGCCAGGCUGCCCGUCCGUCCUCGCUGAUCUAGGCUUGCUUCUCUGUGCAAAGAUGGUGCCCUGCCUGAGUGCCUGCAGCUUGCCAUGGAUUCUCUCUCAUUUUUAUAAUAAAACCAGAGUUGGACUCAGCCCCAUUCCUUUGCUUGCUCUGGCUUCAUUCAAUCCCCAUCCCUGCCUCUGAUUUCACUCUCUCUCACAAAACUGCCACUUUUGUUGCUUCAGCCGCGUGUGUGAGGACAGACUGUGUGUGUUUGUUGUGUGGAGGAGGAGAGAGAGAGCUACAGCACCCACAUUGUCAACACCGGUGUGAAGGGAGAAUUUUGUAAGGGAGAAAUUUGUUGUUCUUGCAUAUGGGGGAUGUGUGAAUGGGAGUAUGGGAGAAUGGGAAGGAGAAGGAGAAGGAGGCUUGAUGUGAGACAGAUGACGAGGUACGUAGCUCACAUUGCGGUGAUGGUUAUGGCGUUCUUGAUGGUUCGGGAUGCUUGUUCUCUGAGCGAGUGGAACGAGGCUCGUGCUACGUUCUAUGGCGGCAGCGACGCCGGUGGAACGACAGGAGGUGCAUGUGGCUACGGAGAUCUGUACAGCACUGGCUAUGGCACCAACACGGUUGCCACAAGCUCCGCUAUCUUCGACCGAGGCCUUGCUUGCGGCGCUUGUUACCAGGUUAAGUGCGCUGGUAGCGCAUCCGAGUGCCAACCUGGCACCCCCGCAAUUCAAGUUACCGUGACCAACUUCUGUCCUCCUAAUCCUUCCCUGCCUGAAGGCAACGGCGGCUGGUGUAACCUCCCGCUGCACCAUUUCGACAUGGCCAUGCCGGCAUUUCAACAAAUUGCUUCUUACAGAGUUGGCAUUGUGCCUAUCUUAUACCGAAGAGCUUCGUGCGUGAGGACAGGCGGCAUCCGCUUCACUAUGAGCGGACACAAAUUUAUGAACCUCGUGCUCGUCACCAACGUGGGUGGUAUGGGGGACGUCCAAACUGUGUUCAUUCAGGGGUCUAAGACGAAGUUGGUGGCCAUGAUCCGGAACUUUGGCCAGAUAUGGCAGAGCUCCGUGAACGUGAGCGGUCAGAGACUCUCCUUCAUGGUCAUGACCAGCGAUGGCGAGAGUGUAGUCUCCAGAAAUGUGGCGCCUUCGGAUUGGGCAUAUGGUCAGACAUAUGAAGGUUCACAGUUCUAGCAAAUGCUAAUCCGCCGAGGGUAUUCUUCUCGCCCAUCUCCUGACACGCAUUCGCCUCAUCAAUCUCUCUAACUACACACGAUGAUGCACCGAAGCUGUCGGCAGAUUCUCUGUUGUAGUUCGUGGAUUAAGCUGUACAAGUAAGCAAACGAUCCAGAAGCUUUACAUUUUAUGGUGACGACGACGACUACGACGACGACAACGACAUGAAGGAUACUGUUCUAGGGGCCUCUUUGGCUUAUGGGGUGUUGAAUUCGAAGCUACCUCUGAUCCACGAGGAGGGUGCCGAGGAGGGCAACAACCCCAGGCGGUCGUGUGAAUAGCAAGCAGUAUAUGAGACUCCAGGAGUUCACACUGUGACUGCACCCCCCAACCCUGUGAGAAUGUUUGAUCUAUUCAAAGCAUUUCUCAAUCUGCUGUCAAUUGUGCAUUGUCCUCAUUCUGACAUCUCUUACAAGUCCUUUCCCAAGAGAUCUUAAUCCAUGCCACCGCAGAGACUGCAUUCGCGGAGGAGGCGUCUAUGAAAUAUCCAUCCGAAUCUGGAUCUCGGCGAGCUGGGAGCACCGGCUUGACUGUCGAUGGCUCCAUCAAUCAAAGACCGGCGUUGCAUUAGGACAUAGUAGCACUGUAGCACUAGUACCACUAGGAUUGAAACCCCGCUGCAGCUUUCUUCAACGCGGUCACCUGGCCGACAAAGGCUAUCGUCGGCACCGCAAUCAAAGGCCCCACCUACUCCUCGUACAUCACACCCACCCACCCACAUCUAUCUGGUGGCAAAACCCUUUCAUUCAUUCCUUAUAUUUUAUAAGAAAAACUUCAUAUUCUGGCAGAGCGAGAGAGAGUGUGAUCUUUGGGAAGAAUAUUGUGUUCAGAUAUGUUGCUAUUAUUUUAUGGAAGAUCCAAACAACCUCCUAUAUGCUAAUUUUUGCACA